CACGUUUCCCAUUGGCCGCCGUUUCCGGAAGCCCGCCCUCCCAUUUCCGGAAGCCUGGCGCAAGGUUGGUCUGCAGGUGGCCUCCAGGUGCAAAGUGGGAAGUGUGAGUCCUCAGUCUUGGGCUAUUCGGCCACGUGCCUGCCGGACAUGGGACGCUGGAGGGUCAGCAGCGUGGAGUCCUGGCCUUUUGCGUCCACGGGUGGGAAAUUGGCCAUUGCCACGGCGGGAACUGGGACUCAGGCUGCCCCCCGGCCGUUUCUCAUCCGUCCACCGGACUCGUGGGCGCUCGCACUGGCGCUGAUGUAGUUUCCUGACCUCUGACCCGUAUUGUCUCCAGAUUAAAGGUACGACAUUUGGAGGCCCCAGCGAGAAACGUCACCGGGAGAAACGUCACCGGGCGAGAGCCGGGCCCGCUGUGUGCUCCCCCGGAAGGACAGCCAGCUUGUAGGGGGGAGUGCCACCUGAAAAAAAAAUUUCCAGGUCCCCAAAGGGUGACCGUCUUCCGGAGGACAGCGGAUCGACUACCAUGUGGGUGCCCACAAAAAUUCCACCUCUGAGUCCUCAACUGCUGACCCCGGGGUCAGUAGACACGGGGUUUCACCAUGUUGGCCAGGCCGGUCUUGAACUUGUGACGUCAGGUGAUGCACCCGCCUUGGCCUCCCAAAGUGCUGGGAUUACAGGUCCAGAUUUUGAACAAAUCUCGCUAGAGAUUGAACAGAGCUGCGCCUGGAUCCCGCCACAGUGAGGAGACCUGAAGACCAGAGAAAACACAGCAAGCCCCUGGAUCCUCCUGGAAUCCCCGAUCCCUCUUGCUCCCUGGCAGAGUUUUCUAGUCCCUCUUACUUGAAGCAUGUCUUUCAGAGCCCGGCACCACCCAUCUUGAGUAUCUGAUACCCCAUCAGCCUGAGUCUCUUAAAGGCCUUUAUACACAUAUGUCUACACAUAGGGAUUUGGAUGAUCUCGGGAUCCCACAUCCUCGCUGUCCCCUGUCCCCCCGCAACAUCCCCCACCAAUACCUUUCUGAAGUUUUCUAGUCCCUCCUUUUUGUUUGUGCUCCUUAAAGCCCAGCCCCAUGCCUGACUUUGGUUCCCAGUGAGCAUUGUACAUUUGUGGAUAUUAAAUCUUUGGCAAAGUCAUUUACCUGGGCUGGAAUAGGGCUCUUGGCUGAUUCUUUUUCCUAAACACCCACCCAAUGGGAGAGGCUGAUACUCAACAUGCAAACCUUGUGUUUUAUUUCUCCAGGCGAAGGGAUGUUGGAAGACAUUCUGGAAGGGGUGGGGUGUGAAGAUUUACAAAUAAUCUUUGAAUAUCUGCUUCAUGAUAGGUCUUGGAGGUGCCUUGUGGGUGUGGCUUUGGGGGGAUGGUUACGAGGAAAUUGUGGAUAUUAAGGAAGUCAGGAAAGGAAAAGAUCAGUCACAAUUCAACAAUUCAGAGAAAGCUCCUAAGGGACUUUCUGGCUGCUUGAUGCCCAGAGGCCAGGCCCUCACUUCGUAUUAAGGCUCAGGACUGUGGAUAGAGAAUUUAAAGGGGCACCAAAAAAAACAUUAAAAUAGAUAAACAUAUUUUUAAUGGAAUACCUUUAAAAAUGCAAAUCAAUGCACAAAGAAAACGCCCA
rnacentral:lncRNA from 10 species